AACCUCAUCAACCGGAAGGGAUUCCUUCCGGUUGAUGAGGUAUAGCUUCCUCAUCAACCGGAAGGAAUCCCUUCUGGUCGAUGAGGGA
rnacentral:miRNA from 1 species